rnacentral:lncRNA from 1 species
ACCAAUGAUGAGACAGUGUUUAUGAACAAAAGAUCAUGAUUAAUCCAGUUCUGCACAAAACACUGAGGUCCAUUAGAAGACAAUAGGUCUUGGCUGUUUCAUUCCUUUUAAGAGCUGUUUAAUAUUCCACGGAGCCCUGGGCUCCCCCAGUGUUGCCUGGGUCUGACUUUGCCUCAGUGAAAACUGCCUCGAAUUCUUUCUUGCACCGAUGGGCAGAUGGGCAGUGUCGGAGGAUCGUGUCAUCUGUCCCGUGGCGCUGGUUGGCUUGGUCAAGUCAGUGUUCAAACUAUCUCCUGCUCUUUCAAGGGGAUCUGGGGCUCUAGAAGAUUAGAGGACUUGGAGAGGUUAGUGACUUGCUCGAGGUCGGCUAGGAAGCAAGACCCAGGAUUCCAACUCAGGUCUGUGUGAUUCCUCUGCAAAAUGGAGAGGUGGAAGGAUGGAUGUCAGGUCUGAUGGAUGGAUGGAUGCCUACAUCAAGAUACAUGCAUAGAUGGAGAGAUGGCUGGCUACCUCAUGAAUGCUGGACUGUUGUGAGAAUCAAACGAGAUAAUGUAUGCUGAGGCAUGCUGUGAACACUACGUGCUGGGUACAGGAGAAUGGAGGCUCCAGAGUGAAAUUAAUGACACUUUGUCGAUGAAGAUCUUGAUUGUGACCUCUGUGGAAAAUGAGCCAUGAACCAACCAAUAAUGAAAACCAUGUAGCUGGUCUUAUUAUUCUCUAAUCAUGAAGACCAUUAUUGUUAUUUGUGGACUAAGGAGCAGAAAGACUGAUAGUGGACAUAGGCCAGCUGAUUUAAUAAUUUAAGAAAGAACUGUUAUCCUGAGUAAGGAGCAUAGAGACAAAUAUAAAAUGAACGCACUCUACCUGAUUUAAUUAUAGUCUUCUGGUGAAGAUCUUGCUGUUAUCUCUGUGAAUCAGGAGAGAAGAGAUUGAUAAGGAAUAGACGAGAUUGGAUUUGGUCAUUUCCCCAAGGUGAAGAGCAUGGCGAUUUCUUCUGUGGUAAGGAGCAAUAAUGAAGACCAUGGUUGAUUUAAUCAGUCUCUGCUGAUGAAGAUCUUGGCUGUUACCUUUGUGUAAUGAAUGCGCAAUGAUUCAAUUAUUCUCCAGCGAGGAAGAUCAUGGUUGUUGUCUGUUUGAGUAAUGAGUGUAGAAACCUAUAAUGGAGGCGUGAUGGCUGAUGCAAUCAUUUUCCACUGAUGAAGGUUUUGAUGGCCACCUGUAAUGAACAGCCCCAUCUGAUUUAAUCACUGUGCAAUGACCGUGAACUGUACAGUUACCUCCGUGUGUCACAGGAAGACUCUUUUGACUUAAGCACCCUUCCAUGGUCAUGAGGUUUCUGGUUGCCUCUGUGUGUUAGAAGCUUGGAGACCAAUGCCUUCUGCUGUGAUCGCGUUCUCCACAGUUGCCUCUGGGUAGGAGCCUGGACACUAAUAGAAAAUGGAUGCACUUGAGCCGACCUAAGCAUUCAUGGUCAUGAGAUUUGUGGUUGCCACUGUUGGUUAGGAGCAUAGAGAUCAGUAAUGGACACACCUGGGCUGGCAGAACAUCUUGCCUUGAUCUGGAGCCCCAUGUCUGCCCCUCUGUAGAGGUGCACAUGGGCCAAUGAUGGAUGCAAUGAGCUGAUCAUUUUGCUGUGAUCAAGGCUAUGUUGCCUCUGUGUUAGGCCAAUGGUUGAUGUUCAUGGGUGAUUGAUCAUCCUGUAGCGACGGUGGUAUUGACUGUUCCCCAGAGGACAAGGAGUGUGUUCUUAUAAUGGACAUCAUGAUUGGGAUUGUCUUUAUUAAACUUUGUCAGGAGAGUAAAGAUCAAUGUGGCCACAUGUUGUGGCUCAUGCCUGUAAUCCCAACACUGUAAUCCCAGCACUGUAAUCCCAGCCUGUAAUCCCAGGCUGAGGUGGGCGGAUCACCUGAGGUUGGGAGUUCGAGACCAGCCUGACCAACAUGGAGAAACCCCGUCUCUACUAAAAAUACAAAAUUAGCCGGGCAUGGUGGCGCAUGUCUUUAAUUCCAGCUACUCAGGAGGCUGAGGCAGGAGAAACGCUUGAACCCGAGAGGCGGAGGUUGCAGUGAGCUGAGAUUGCGCCAUUGCACUCCAGCCUGGGCAACAAGAGUGAAACUCCAUCUCAAAAGAAAAAAAAAAGAAAACAAAACAAAAAAAGAAAAAACCAAUGUUCCAAUAGUUUCCCAAAUCAUGCUGAUGCUGCCUCCUGAGAAAUAUUUUCAGAAUCACUGAGAAAAAUGUAUGAAAUAGUUAAUGUCCUUGCUCUGUGUCAGUGGUGGAGGCUGUCUGCAGUAGGAGCAUGGAGACCAACAAUGGAUGCUCUUAAACUGAUUUAAGCACGCUUCCAUGGUCAGAAGCCUUAUGGUUGCCACAGGGUAUUAGGAGCAUGGAGACCAAUAAUGGAUGUCCUUGUUCUGAUUUGAGGAUGCCUCCAAGGUCACAUACUCUGUUUGCACCACGCUUAGGAAGGAGCGUGAAGACCAAGGGGAGUAAUAGUCAAAGUCCUUACCUUUGUUUGGGUGGUUUGUUUAAGAGUAAUCAACGUAUUAUUUAAAAGUGUGAAAUACAGUCAAAGAUGGCCAAUGUUAUUCCAGUGAUAUGGGAGUGACAUGAAGUAUUAUAUUGAUGAUGCAUAUAUAAAAAACAGGAUAGUUAAUGAAACACCCAAUGUUUGAGUGAUUCUGUAUACUGAUAGGGAAUAUCAAGAGUGUUACUGGGUUUUGUGAAUCACGGGCCUUGAAAGUAUUAUUAAUGAAUAAAUGACAUAAUCAAUAGACAAGGUAGAAAUGAAUAGCAAAAAAAAAGAAGAUCAAUGAUGACUACUGUUAGUGUAUGAGUUACACAUGAUGAAUACAUGUCUGAAACUCUGAGGUCCAUCACAAAAGAAAUCUGGCCCAUUCCUUCUGAUUCAGGGAAGAUGAUAAACACAGAUCAUGGAGGACUGUUUUAUCUGUUUGUGAUCUGCCGUCCUCUGUGAGCCUCAGGAUGGAUGUUUGCCAGCCGAUUCCAUGGUUACAAGCUCUAUAGCUGCAUCUAUGUGUUAGGAGCAUGAAGACCAAUAAUGGAUGCACUGAGCUGAUUAUGAAUUUAGCCCUGAUGAAGACUUGUGUUGCUGUCAUGAUAUGAAAGAUUCCAGUAAUGAACGCACUUGAGUUGAUUCAAGCACGCUUCCAUGGUCAUGAGCUCUGUGGUUGCAUCUGUGUGUUAGGAGCAUGCAGACCAAUAUGAAUCAGAAUGGAUGCAUCAAGUGGGCUUCUGCUUGAUGGAAACCUGUAUUGCUGUUGCGUUUGGAAAGAAACUAAUAGUGAUAAUCUCGAGGUGAUUUAUGCAUUCUUCCAUGGCCACCAGCCUUAUGAUUGCAUCUGUGCGUCACAGCUUAGAGAUCAAUAAUGGAUGCAACAAGCUCUUUGAAUCAUUCUGUUGGGAUCAAGAUUGUUGUGUUCCCUCUGUUUGGAAAGAGACCAAGAAUGGAUACGCUCAGGUGAUUUAAGCAGUCUUCCAUGGCCACGAGCUCUGUGGUUGCCUCUGUAUAUUAAGAGCACAGAGAUUAAAAAUGGGUGCACUUGAGCCGAUUGAAACAUUCCUCCUUGCAUCUUUCUUCUGUGAUUGCAUCUAUUUGUUAGUAGCAUAGAGACCAAUAAUAGAUGGCUUGUGCUGAUGGAAGGAUUCCUCCCUGGUGACAUGCUGUGUCUGCCUCUUGAUUGGGAGCACGCAGACCUACAAUGAUGCACUUUUUAUGAUUUGAGAAUUCCUUCAUGGUCACGUGCUCUGUUUUUAUCAUGGUUGGGAGCCUGCAGAGCAAUAAGGGACAUGCCUUUGCUGAUUUGAGGAUUCCUCUGAGGUUGGGAGCUAAGUUUGCAUCAUGCUUAGAAAGGAGUGUGCAGACCUGUAAUGAUUGCACUUUGCUGAUUGAAGGAUUCCUUCAAGUCCAUGUGCUCCACUUGCACCAUUUUUAGGAUGGAGCCUGGAGACCUAUAAUGAACAACUUGUGCUGUGUUAAGGAUUCCUCCAUGAUCACGCGCCCCAUUUGUACACCAUGCUUGGGAAGGUGCAUGCAGACCAAUGAUGGACGUACUUGUGAUGAUUUAAAGAUGCCUCCAAGGUCACGUGCUCUGUUUGCACCAUGCUUAGGAAGGAGCGUACAGACCAAAAAUGGAUGAAUUGUGCACCUUGAAAAGUUCUUCCAUGGUCACCUGAGGCAUCUGCGUCAUGAUUAGGCUCCGGAUGACUAAUAAUGGACGUACUUGUUCUGAUUUGAGGACUUCUUCAUGGUCACAUGUUCUGUUUGCACCAUGCUUAGGAAGGAGCAUGUGUACCAAUAAUGGAAGCACAGAAGCUGGUUUUAAUAGUUAAGAGCUGUAUGGUCCAUCUCUGUGCUAGAAGCUGGAGACCAAUAACAGUCACUCCCUGCACUGAUUCUGCCAUGACCACUUGCUCUAUGGUUGUUUUAAGGAACCUACAGACAAAUGUGAGUAAUCGUCAAAGUUCUUGUCUUGGUUUGGGCCAUUUAAGAGUGGUCAAUGCAUUAUUAAUAAGUAGAAAAUAUAAUUAAAGAAGACUAACCGUGUCCCCAAAAUGAACAUGGGGUUGAUAUGAAACAUUUUGUUGAGUAAUGCAUGUUUGAAACAAUCAGGUCAGUUCAAGAAACAUGUCUAAUUUCUGUAGGAACUGCUCUACAGAUAGACAACAGGGUUAUCACAGCUCUUGUCCUAUUUUUUUUCUGAUUCAUGUCUAUUUCUUUAUUAUAAAGUAGUAAAUUAAUAAAUAAAUGAAAUAGACAAAGUCUAAAUGAAAAAAAUGAUUGAUGGUCUGUGGCCUGGCCCAGAGAUGAUGACUCGUGGGUAUGAGUCAAGGAUGAUGAGUAAUAGGAGUCAGGAAGUUUAAGCUCCGAUAUAAAAGAAAUCUAGCCUAUUGAUCAGUUGGAAAUGAUCCUGUAGACAGUAGUUAAAAAUAUUCAGUUAUCGGCUGGGCACGGUGGCUCACACCUUUAAUCCCAGCACUUUGGGAGGCCGAGGUGGGCAGAUCACAAAGUUAGGAGUUUAAGACCAGCCUGACCAACACAGUGAAACCCCGUCUCUACUAAAAAUAUACAAAUUAGCCGGGUGUGGUGGCGAGUGCCUGUAAUCCCAGCUACUUGGGAGGCUGAGGCAGGAGAAUUGCUUAAACCCAGGAAGUUGAGGUUGCAGUGAGUCGAGAUCGCGCCACUGAAUUCCAGCCUGGGCAACAGAGUGAGACCCUGUCUCGAAAAAAAAAAAACAAAAAAAACCCCCAAAAAAUCAGUUACCCUAUUCUUGUGCUCUUGUAAUUCACGGAUAAUGAAUUAAUGCGUGAAGAACUCAAGUAAAAGAAAUAAGUGAAUAAAAACAUGGCCACACCUGGACCAACUAUAACAUGUGUAAUGAAGCAAGUCACAGUACUGAUCUAUUGCUCAGGGAGUGGGAAUUGUGUCAGAUUUUUAAUCUCUCAGAAUGAGAAACAUGUAGACAAAUGUAUGAGCUGUCCAUGUUUAUAUUGAGUUGUCUUUGGUUUCCUGGUUGUCUUAUCCUUAACUAGGGAUGUUGUUUAUAUAAAUAGAAAGCUAUUUUUAAAGAGGGCCAGUGACAAUAAUUUGUUCUAUAACAAGAGCUAUUGUGCUCACUAAAUUCCAUUACAAAGUGACAUCAUCUGUUAUUACUUUGGUAAUGAUCAACUAUGCAUGUGCUACGAUGAUCCAUGCUGUAGUUUAGAUCAUGUGUAAGGAUACUGAUUUUAUCUUAAUAAUGAACAAAUGCUUAAGUUAAUAAUAAUCAAUUAGCUAAAAAGGAUAAAGCAAGGGCCAGUAGCAAACAUGUCUGGAAAUGAUGGUUGUGAUGUAACUGGGUCCGGAGAGUGUAUUCUUCUUAAGGCAAGUAUUUUGGCUCUUACAAGUGUUUGCAUAAUUAGGCUAUACAUAGACGCACAGUAUCAGACACAUUCUGGGUUUCUGAGGGUUUACAUAUGUUCUGUUUCUUUACAAAGAAUGAAUAAUUCGCCAAAUUGGUUUGUGAAUGAGUGAAUGAAGUGAUAGCAAGCACUGUUCAUUGGUAUGAAAUUGCUCUGAAACAAGUAUUUAGAUGAAUCUAAUUGUGCAUAUGGGAGGUCCAAAGAUUUAGGUUGUUGAGUGCAUGGGUGGAGGCAUUGAAGCUGACGUGUUUUGUAGAGAACUCUCAUUCUUGAUUCAGAUGUUGGAUUCAAAGGCGUCCAUUUAUUUUAUUUAAGUUCUGGGGUACAUGUGCAGGAUGUGCAUGUUUGUUACAUCGGUAAACAUGUGUCAUGGUGGUUUGCUGCACCUAUCAACUCAUCACCUAGGUAUUAAGCCUGGCAUGCAUUAGCAGUUUUUCCUGAUGCUCUCCCCACCCUCCCCUGACAGGCGCCAGUGUGUGUUGUUCCCCUCCUGUGUCCAUGUGUUCUCAUUGUUCAGCUCCCACUUAUAAGUGAGAACAUGCAGUGUUUUGUUUUCUGUUCCUGCAUUAGUUUGCUGAGGAUAAUGGCUUCCAGCUUCAUCCAUGUCCCUGCAAAGCACAUGCUCUCAUCCCUUUAAUGGCUGCAUAGUAUUCCAUAGUGUAUAUGUAUCACAUUUUCCUUAUCCAGUAUUUGGGUUGAUUCCAUGUCUUUGCUAUUGCGAAUAGUGCUGCAAUGAACAUACAUGUGCAUGUAUCUUUAUAAUAGAAUGAUUUCUAUUCCUUUGGGUUAUAUACCCAGUAAUGGAAUUGCUGGGUCAAAUGGUAUUUCUGCUUCUAAAUCUUUGAGGAAUCACUACACUGUCUUCCAUAAUGGUUGAACUAAUUUAUAUUCCCACCAACAGUGUAAAAUCAUUCUUAUUUCUCUUUAACUUCAUCGGCAUCUGUUUUUUCUUGACUUUUUAAUAAUCACCAUUCUGACUGGUAGGAGAUGGUGUCUCACUGUGGUUUUGAUUUGUAUUUCUCUGAUGAUCAGUGAUGUUGAGCCUUUUUUCUUGUUUGUUGGCUGCAUGUAUGUCUUCUUUUGAGAAGUGUUUGUUCAUGUCCUUUGCCCAUUUUUUAAUGGGGUUGUUGGUUUUUUUCUUGUGAAUUUGCUUAAGUUCCUUGUAGAUUCUGGAUAUUAGACCUUUGUCAGAUGGAUAGAUUGCAAAAAUUUUCUCCCAUUCUGUAGGUUGUCUCUUCACUCUGAUGAUAGUUUCUUUUGCUGUGCAGAAACUCAUUAGUUUAAUUAGAUUCCACAUGUCAAUUUUUGCUUUUGUUGCAAUUGCAAAGGCAUCCAUUUUAAAUGCAAAAUUAAUAAUUGAAUUAAUGUGACAAAAAAGAGGGUUUUCUGGCCAGUUGUAAAAAGAGCAUGACCCAAUUAUAAA